UAAUAAAUUUAUUACCUAUUCUAUUAUAUAAAUAGGUAAUAAAUAACAACACAUGAUAGAUGACAUGAUAGAUGUGUUAUUUAUAUUAUUACCUAUUUAGCUAGCUGGCAUCUAUCUAUCUCUAUUGUCUAUCUUGAUAUAGAUAUACAGAUAAUGACAUAGUUUUUUCCUCAGGAAAGUCAGGGUUAAAUAAGGCUCUCAGCUGAUCAUAAGGAUGAGGAGAGGUGAAUGACAGGGGAAUCUAAUAAAAACGAGUGGUUCAGGGAAGGCUUCCCCGGGAAGGGGAUCAUUAACACUAAACCUUGAAGGGCACGUGCAUUUAUGAAUUAUGUGAAUAAAUUACCAGGGGAAGUACUGCAAAAGACUACAAAGAGACAAGAUUCAACAUGAUUUUUAAAACAUUGUACUGUAAAAAAGAAAUUACAAGAAAUUAUCCUAAGUCAGUCAGUGUUUCCCAAGGCUGAGCAUUAAGAGAAAUAAUUCUUGGGGAUGUUAAAAGCUCAGAUGUGUGGGAACUAUCCUAAGCCUAUUGAUAAGAAACGUAACAAGGCCAUAUUAGAUCUGAAGCUGGCAGUGAUCUUGAAAACCACAGAAAAAGACCAAGAUUGAAGACCAAAGAAAGCAAUUUUAAUUCCAGGCAAAGGCAAUGAGAUUAAUAAUUAUCAUUUCUAAGUAUUAAAGUCAACCUUCUACUAAUGUGCAGAAACAUAGAAACCCAAGGCAAUAUUUGAAAUGAAGAAAUGAAAAAAGACAACAUAUCUAUAAAACUGACUGUGCAUCUACAACUUAAUUUUCUAAGAAUAAAUACUGCUUUUACCAGUAACUUAAAGAAAAAGGUGGUAAUUCAGGCAAAUAAACAGUGAGAAGGAAAUUGAAUAGAGUUGAUGACUGAUUAGACAUACCAACCUUCUUAACUUAAACACCUUAUUUCUUUUUCUAAGUUAGAGCACGGCUUAGGAAACAGCAAGCACAGUCUUAAAAAAUUAUUAGCAAAACUUAGAAGUUCCCUCUCAAACCAAAACAUUCCUCUCUCUUUCUUACUCAUAGCGUGCACACCCACCAGCAGAUUCUACUCACAGUGAGAAAUAAAUAUGCUAUCCAGAUAUAAGAAGCUUUAAUAUUUUAUAAUAUUUGCUCCUUCAUUUUAAAGGAACCAUCAGGUCAUAGUCAAAGUCUGUCUGCAUUACCAUCUCAGUCUCACUUCUUUCACUUCUUCUCUGUGCAAAAAAUGUCAUUUUACUGAACAUUAAAUAUUUACAUCUAGGUCAUUCUGUUUAAAUGCUGUCUGAACAUUUAUGUAUGAGUGUAUUACAAUUUAUUACACAUUCCUCUUAAUAAUGGAAAUUUAAAAUUAUUCCCGGUUUUGUGUAUUACAAACAUAAGUAUCAAUAUUUUUAACUCUUUUGGCAGGUUAUCAAAGUUCCCCUUUAGAGUUCAUAUUUAGAGAUGGAAAUUCUAAGUUGCAACAGGUAUCAACACUACUAAAUCUCAUCCUUUUUCUCUAUUUUUUGGUUCUCACUUCUGACCCCAAUUGUACCUAAUCAUACUCACUAAAAUGGUGAUAGGUGUGGUUGGGUUUCUUGCCUGUCACUGUGUGAUGGUUUGAAGCAGCUAAUCCUUUCAAAAGCUACAUGAAA